GUCCUGGUGGUCUAGGGGUAUGAUUCAUCCUUAGGGUUAACAAGUGUACACUGUUAACAAUCUGGAUGAGGUCCCGCGUUCAAAUCGCGGCCAGGACC
rnacentral:tRNA from 1 species